GGAAGUAAAAGCGUAACAAGGUUUCCGUAGGUGAACCUGCGGUAGGAUCAUUAUUGUAUAACCGAGGUGCGAGGGCCGUCGCUGACCCGAAAGGUCGUGCACGCCCGAGUGCCCUCACAAACAUCCAUCUCACCCCUAUGUGCACCACCGCGUGGGUCCCCCUUUGGCUUGUUCGGAGGGGGGCUUACGUUUUCACACAAACUUUGUAUGCAGUGUAGAAUGUAUUUUUUGUUUUUGCGAUCACGCAAUCAAUACAACUUUCAACAGCGGAUCUCUUGGCUCUC
rnacentral:misc_RNA from 1 species